rnacentral:tRNA from 1 species
GGGGACAUGGUGUAACCAGGCCAUCAUCGCAGGCUCCAGACCUGUGGAUCGGAGUUCAAAUCUCCGUGUCCCCACCA